rnacentral:piRNA from 1 species
UGCCCGCUUGCCUAUAACAUUUACAAGGU